AAUAAUUUGUAAAUCGUUGAUUGGAAAGCAAAAAAUCGUCAGCUAAAACAGCUUCUUGCUAACUUUCUGCUUUGUGUUGAAUGUAAAUGCAAUGAGCUUUGUUUCUGCCCGCAAUUUUUUGGUCAGCGAAGACAAAUUUCCCACCUGUUUUCCAGCACAUUACCCUGAUCCAGGAAAUCCUGGCCACUACAUGAACGUGUGAAAAAUCCUGGAAAUCCUGGCCACUACGCUGAAUGAUGGACAACAACAACCUGUUGAUAAUUUCGCCCCUAGAGCCAAUUUAAUUUAUUUUUUUUAAAAAGACGGUGCCAUUUCAUCUGGCGCUAGUGAGGUGAAAGAAGCAGCAGAUCGAUUUGUUGAGGAGAAGCACAUGCUUGAGUGUAUCAGACAUCUUGAGGAACUGCAAUGAUAAGAGAGAAUUCCGGACUGUACUGCUUCGAUUCCGAAUUCUAGGAGGGGGGCAUUGAAAAUUUUAAAAACUUGGAGGGGGGGGCAUCGAAAUUUACCAAUAACCUCAACAGGGGCCCUGUAAAAAUAUGAGCUUUUUUCAAGACAUCUUCAUCCCCCUCCCUCGGUGUAAUAAAUGUACUUUCCCUAAAAAUAGAAAUAAAACAUAUCAGGAUCCAUGUGUAAAAUUUAUACUGCAAACGAUAACCUCAAACUUAAAAGCUGAAUUUACUGUCUUGGCUAAUAUGUUAGUAUAGUGUCUAACUAAUUCUGAUAAUCAUUAUUGCUAAAUGUCACGAGCUUUGUUAGGAUGUUUAUUAUGUAACAAAAUUAGUGUAAUUUCUACAAGAGCGUAGUUAAAUCACAAUCAUCGUUAGCGAUUUGGCGUUUGCUAUAAAUGUCAAACUAUUAAUUAAGGGUCUCUAAUUAUGAGAAAGAUACUGCAUAAUGCAGUAUGCAUGGGACGUUCCAUGAAAAGAAAGACCUUUCUGUAUUUACUGAAUUCAGGGCCUCUUCAACACAUAGCUGGGGAGGACAUCAGGGCCUUUUUUAAGGAUUUUCCCGUGGGGGGGGGGGGCAUUUUUUGAAAAGGGACCUUUCUGUGAGAUAAUAUAUUACAGGGAGAUAGCAAUGGCUGAAGGCCACGUGUGUGACCAACAUACCAUGCACGCAUGGAUGGGGGGGGGGUCUGGAGGUGUACUCCCCCAGAAAAUUUUUGAAAUUUGAAGCACGGAAAUGUCAUUUCCUGCAUUCUGAGCAACCAAAUUUGCUCCAAAAUGUAUGCUAACUAUACUUGUAUUUGAAAUAAAAGAAGGGAAAAACCAACAAAAAGUUUAAAAAAAUAUUAACCAUAAUUUAUCAUUACUUAUUAGAGGAAGAUACCAAUGGUUACGUGUGUGGGGGUGUACUCCUCCAGAAAAUUUUUGAAAUUUUAAACACGGAAAUGCCAUUUCCUGCAUUCUGAGCAUCCAAAUUUGCUCUAAAAUUUAUGCUACUAUACUUGUAUUUGAAAUAAAAGAAGGAAAAAAUGCACAAAAAGUAAAAAAGAAUAUUAACCGUAAUUUAUCAUUAUACUUAUUAGAGGGGGAUACCAAUCAGGGCGAAGGGAGAGAGGGCGUAGAAACGGGGGUAGGGAUAAAACGCUGAAACUGAAUCGCGGAAACGGAAACUGAAAGCGGAAACUGAAAUGGGGGUAAAACGCUGAAAUGGGGGUAAAACGCUGAAAUGGGGGAUAAAACGCUGAAAUGGGGGAUAAAACGCUGAAAUGGGGGAUAAAACGCUGAAAUGGGGAUAAAACGCUGAAAUGGGGAUAAAACGCUGAAAUGGGGGUAAAACGCUGAAAUGGGGAUAAAACACUGAACUGGGUAUAAAACGCUGAAAUGGGAAUAAAUAACUGAAAUGGGCAAAUUUAAUCGAAUUCGUUGUUUGCUAGACCAUGGCGAACACAUGUAAUUUGCCUAUAAAACUGAAUAAAUAUAAGAAAGAAGUUCCCGGUAAAAUGACAACCACAAAUUUUCGAAGAACGAAUAUAAUCUGACAGUUUAUCUUUUAUUGAUAAUGUAAUCUACAAUUUUCUCCUUAUAACUUCGAACUAAACUUUUUGUGAUAGCAUACUUUCUUCACACUGCCAUAUGGCUGGUAUUUUGGGUGUAAAACCGGUGUCACAGGAAUUUCCCGGGAAUUGUCAGGACACGUGUCUAAAUCGGAAAAAACGUUUUUCUUCUCCUGCCUACACGCGUAAAAAUCAUGAACUUGUAGUUGCAAUGUUGAUAAAAACAGGUUGCAACAAUAAUGUGCUACGCCUAUUGUUCACGAAUGUUAACAAUAUUGUUCAGCAUUGUUGCACCCCAUUCAAGAUGAAUAAUAUUGUUCAAUGUUGUUAACUGUAAAAAACAGGUCAGCAUAAUAUUGUUGCAACCUGUUGUACAGACAGUACAGUACAGUACAGUACAGUACAGUACAGUACAGUACAGUACAGUACAAUACAGUACAGGCAGUACAGCAGGCUCAGCGUUUUUGGCCGUGUAGAAUUGAACAAACUAACUGAACAAACUAAAAAACAAAACAAUAUCGACAUCAUGCCACGUCAAAUUUGAGCACCAAACUCUCGUAAAAAGCGCACAUGUUCUGGUGUUAAAUAAUAUGGCAGCCAAUUUGGUACAGUUAUGCAGGCAGGGUUAAAAUAUGGCUGCUUCAUCUUGAGGCAACUCAAAUUUACAUGGA